UCACGUGCGGUCGCUGUGGAUGCGCGAGCAGGCGGAGGUGACAGGUUGUCUGUGAGCGUCGUGAUGACACAUUUACAUGGAAAAACACUUCCAGAAAUGGCAGCCCAAAUGGUUCGGUGGAUGUCGCGGUCUGUACUUCGCAAGCAAGAAAAAAAAUCGUUCGGAGCAGGUGUUCAAACAAGAGGAUAUGCGCAAUUAAUGCAAUUAGAUGCAGCUUGGUUACCAAAAUACUGGAGUUUUCACUGAACAACUGUGAGAAGCGUUGACAUCAUCUGUUGGUGGUGUGUUUCCACUUGUUAACCAUUCGUUGUGUGAUUCACACCUAAACCUCUUUCCGGGCCUAUUCAAGCAGACCUGUUGUUCGAACUAGGGGCUUGCUGGCUGAAUCAUCUUUCAUUUUGAGCCUCAUCGGACCGAACACGAGGA